CAGUAGCCACGGGAAUACGUAGGGUGCAAGCGUUAAUCGGAAUUACUGGGCGUAAAGCGUGCGCAGGCGGUUUUGUAAGACAGGCGUGAAAUCCCCGGGCUCAACCUGGGAAUGGCGCUUGUGACUGCAAAGCUAGAGUGCGGCAGAGGGGGAUGGAAUUCCGCGUGUAGCAGUGAAAUGCGUAGAUAUGCGGAGGAACACCGAUGGCGAAGGCAAUCCCCUGGGCCUGCACUGACGUUCAUACACGAAAGCGUGGGGAGCAAACAGGAUUAGAUACCCCCGUAGUCCCUGUCUCUUAUAC
rnacentral:rRNA from 1 species